CGGGCAGAUGUCUAACUAGUAUAGUCUUCUUCUUGCGCCUCCAUCGUCAGUGUUGAGAAAUGAAAGAAACAAAUUCAUCAGAAAACCAGAUCUAUUAUAACAAGCAAAUAGUUUAGUUAUCUUUAACAACUACUACUGCAAAUGAUCUCUACAAGGAUGAAGAUGAUGAUGUAUGUGUUGUUCUCUAUUUCAAUGGUGUUGAUCAUGGUUCCAAAUGGCGUUCAUGGAAGGACAUGGAUUGUUGGUGACACCAAAGGCUGGGGACCGAACGUUAACUACACCAAGUGGGCUGAGAAGAUAAAGUUCUACACCCAUGAUUCACUUGGACAAGUCCAGGUUUAGCGUAAUCGAAGUGAUAGAAUGAAGACCUGAUCCUUUAUGUAUGUCUUUGGUGACCAUUUUCUUAUGUGUCCUGCUAUCUGUUUGUUGUUUAGAAUAAAAAGUUCAGAUUCGAAGAGAUACUAUGAAGCAAGAGGAAUAACUAAUCAUGGGAUGUUAAUGUUCUGUCAAAUUGGUAUUGUUUUUAUAGAUUUGUGUGUGUUUGAUGAAUAAAAAGUUGAGAUUCGAAGAGAUACUAUGAAGCAAGAGGAAUAACUAAUCAUGGGAUGUUAAUGUUCUGUCAAAUUGGUAUUAUUUUUAUAGAUUUGUGUGUGUUUGAUGAAUACAAUGAUGGGAUGUUGAUGUUUAACAAAAUCUAUAAUUUGUAUUGGUUUCAUCUGA